GACGGCCAUUCUCACUCCGCUCAGACCAUCGCUCAGAGGGGCCUGCGCUAGGACGGACUCUACAUGCUAAGUAACUCCUUUUCUUCAUUCAUGUUGACUUGAUGGCUGGAGCCAGGUGAAAAGACAAUUGACCCAAACAGCCGCACUGAACGUGAAGCUUCGCUAACGAGGUAUGAGCUAUAGUCCCAGAAGCUGUGCUAGAAGGUCAGCAUAGCUGUAGACAGAGUGCAGGAAAUGGAGAGCGAUAAGCCUGAAACAAAGCCGUCGGAGCCCCAAUGACUCAUGGAGAUGGACCACCUUUUCUUGUCCAGCCCUGAUGAUGGAGGUCCUUAAAGAGGAAAUGAAUAAAUCCCUUAAAGAAGUCAAGGAAGAGACAAACAAAAAUUGGAAGAAAUGAGUAAAUCUCAUAAAGAAAGCCAAGAAAAAGAAAAGAAAGCAACAGGUGAAAGAAACGAGUAAAAACUGCUUCGAGACCUGAAAAUGGAAAGAGAAUCAAUAAAGAAAACUGAGGUUAUCCUGGAGCUGGAAAAUAAAGGCUGUUUCUCAACAAAAAUGACAAGCCAGGCCAAAUUCCUCAAGUGAAAGCGUGUUGCUUUCCAGUCAGCAGAAGCUGGAGCUGAAGCCCCAUUGAAGUUGCUGAAGUUUCCCAUACAGUGUCAAGGAGGUGCCAUGAAAUCAAACCAUCUCCCAGCACAACCAACCACUCAAUUUUUAAUUCAUUGAUUGCUUCCUUCUUUAAAG